GACGAACGCUGGCGGCGUGCUUAACACAUGCAAGUCGAACGGAAAGGCCCUGCUUUUGUGGGGUGCUCGAGUGGCGAACGGGUGAGUAACACGUGAGUAACCUGCCCUUGACUUUGGGAUAACUUCAGGAAACUGGGGCUAAUACCGGAUAGGAGCUCCUGCUGCAUGGUGGGGGUUGGAAAGUUUCGGCGGUUGGGGAUGGACUCGCGGCUUAUCAGCUUGUUGGUGGGGUAGUGGCUUACCAAGGCUUUGACGGGUAGCCGGCCUGAGAGGGUGACCGGCCACAUUGGGACUGAGGUACGGACCAGACUCCUACGGGAGGCAGCAGUGGGGAAUAUUGCACAAUGGGCGGACGCCUGAUGCAGCAACGCCGCGUGCGGGAUGACGGCCUUCGGGUUGUAAACCGCUUUCGCCUGUGACGAAGCGUGAGUGACGGUAAUGGGUAAAGAAGCACCGGCUAACUACGUG
rnacentral:rRNA from 1 species